rnacentral:lncRNA from 1 species
GCCCUCACUGUGAAUCUACCUCGUCCCUCCCCGUGAAGAUCUGAAUCGUCACCACCAGAGACCCACAAGGGUCUCCAGGAGGAGAGACCUAGACUGCUAUCAUCACAAAUUAACCAAAGUUGUUAUACUCAAAUGUGCUUGAAACUAAAUCAGAAUUAGCAAAGGAAGAUUGCGUGUUCUGAGAAACCACAAAUUCGCAAAGAAAGAUUGCGGCGGGGAGGUCUUUCUUACAACCUUGCGGCGAGUGAGGGAGGAGUGGAAUCGGGUUUCUGGGUUGCGGGGAGCAGAGCGAGGGAGGAGUGGAAUCGGGUUACUGGGUUGCAGGGAGCAGAGUGGGCGCGCGGCGAAGCUGAUGAAGGUAGUAAUAAGGUACUCCGCCGUUUCAAGUGGGCGCGGCGCGAAGCUGCUUCUACUGCCCCAGCACGGUGUAGAAGGCACGGCUCCCAUUUCAACAAAUGCAGAAAAGUCGUUUCGAAUGCACUGAGUGAAGAAAUUGAACCGAUGACGACUAGAAUAAGAGGGCCGGCUAGGGGAUCUCGAAGGUGCAAUUGGCGGAGGUCGUCAAUGGCGAUGGAAUUACAGAGAGUGUUUGGGG